UCCUGCGCUUUUGCGCCUUGUCUUGACGAAAAAUCUCUCGCCGGCAGGCCGGCGGAUAUUUUUCUUUUCCGCCGCCGUGGGAUAACGAGGUGGGGAGCGAUCGAAAAUUCGGCGGAUGCUCCUCCGCAUCGUCCGGAUGCGCACACAGCUCAUAAAUAUGCGGGAGACCGCAAAACAGAGGGGCUGUGACCGGAUGCG
rnacentral:ncRNA from 2 species